CUUGGUCAUUAGAGGAAGUAAAAGUCGUAACAAGGUCUCCGUUGGUGAACCAGCGGAGGGAUCAUUACAGAGUUUACAACUCCCAAACCCAAAUGUGAACAUACCUACUGUUGCUUCGGCGUGCUCGCCCCGGCGUCCGGCUGGCCUCGUGCUGGUCGCGGCCCGGAACCAGGUGGCCGCCGGAGAAAACCAAAACUCUUUGUAUUAUCAGCUUCUUCUGAAUCCGCCGCAAGGCAAAACAAAUGAAUCAAAACUUUCAACAACGGAUCUCUUGGUUCUGGCAUCGAUGAAGAACGCAGCGAAAUGCGAUAAGUAAUGUGAAUUGCAGAAUUCAGUGAAUCAUCGAAUCUUUGAACGCACAUUGCGCCCGGGAGCAUUCUCCCGGGCAUGCCUGUUCGAGCGUCAUUUCAACCCUCGAUUUCCCUUUGGGGAAGUCGGCCGUUGGAGAUCGGCAGCACUGCCGGCUCCCAAAUACAGUGGCGACCCGCCGCGGGGACCCCUGCGUAGUAACUUACACUCGCACCGGAAACCAGACGUGUCACGCCGUAAAACCCCCAACUUUCUGAACGUUGACCUCGGAUCAGGUAGGAAUACCCGCUGAACUUAAGCAUAUCAAUAA
rnacentral:rRNA from 1 species